GCUUAAACUGCCAAAGAGGAAGUGAGAAGAGCCAUCUGUUUUUUGGCUGGACCGCAGAAAAGUCGGGGUCGGCCCUAUGAACGUGAAAGUCUGUCACUCACUGACUGUGACGUUUAUGAACAUCUUGUGCCAUCUUGUACUGCGCCUACAAUACCGGAGUGUGUCUGUUUACACUGGUGAAAUGUUACAACGUUAAAUACGGAUAUGGAUACGGAUGGAGCCUUCUGUCCGUGCUCCGCGUUCAUUUCGUCCAUAUUUCUGCAUGUUUCCAUAAAGCUUAUGGAUACGGGCCAAACGGAGAAGUACCACCGGAAACCGUGGGGGCAGUGUUGCUGUCACUACCCGCUCCCAGGGCCAACCCUCGCGCCCUCCGACUGGGGUCCUUCUGUUUAUGUCUUUCAUGCAAGAGUGUGUAAGCAGCACUAUCCUCAGUUCACCAACUGGAAGGAGACGAUUACAGCGAGGCAAAGUAUCACGGGAGUGAAAACAGAAAAGGAAUUACUGUAGCUUUGAAGGUUUUUCCAUAUGUUGUCACGCAUGAAAAGACCCAAAAUGGACACUGUAAGUGGACUACUUGAUUACUUUACUUGUAAAGGAAAGAUUCUGUCUCAAGCUUUUUGAUCCAUAUAAGAUCACUGUAACCCUGAGCACUUAAAG